rnacentral:misc_RNA from 1 species
GAUGAAGAACGCAGCGAAAUGCGAUAAGUAAUGUGAAUUGCAGAAUUCAGUGAAUCAUCGAAUCUUUGAACGCACCUUGCGCCCUUUGGCUAUUCCGAAGGGCAUGCCUGUUUGAGUAUCGUGAACACCUCAACUCUCAUGGUUUGCCAUGAUGAGCUUGGAUUUUGGGGGUUUUGCUGGCCUUUGGUCGGCUCCUCUCAAACGGAUCAGCUUUCCAGUGUUUGGUGGCGUCACGGGUGUGAUAACUAUCUACGCCUGUGGUUUUCUGCCAGAUAACCUUCAGCGAUGGAGGUUCGCUGGGGCUCAUAAAUGUCUCUCUUCAGUGGAGACAGCUUUUUGGACGUUUGAUCUCAAAUCAGGUAGGACUACCCGCUGAACUUAAGCAUAUCAAUAAGCGGAGGA